AGAGUUUGAUCCUGGCUCAGAGCGAACGCUGGCGGCAGGCCUAACACAUGCAAGUCGAACGAACUCUUCGGAGUUAGUGGCGGACGGGUGAGUAACACGUGGGAACGUGCCUUUAGGUUCGGAAUAACUCAGGGAAACUUGAGCUAAUACCGAAUGUGCCCUUCGGGGGAAAGAUUUAUCGCCUUUAGAGCGGCCCGCGUCUGAUUAGCUAGUUGGUGGGGUAAUGGCCCACCAAGGCUACGAUCAGUAGCUGGUCUGAGAGGAUGACCAGCCACAUUGGGACUGAGACACGGCCCAAACUCCUACGGGAGGCAGCAGUGGGGAAUCUUGCGCAAUGGGCGAAAGCCUGACGCAGCCAUGCCGCGUGUAUGAUGAAGGUCUUAGGAUUGUAAAAUACUUUCACCGGUGAAGAUAAUGACUGUAGCCGGAGAAGAAGCCCCGGCUAACUUCGUGCCAGCAGCCGCGGUAAUACGAAGGGGGCUAGCGUUGCUCGGAAUUACUGGGCGUAAAGGGAGCGUAGGCGGACAUUUAAGUCAGAGGUGAAAUCCCGGAGCUUAACUUCGGAACUGCCUUUGAUACUGGGUGUCUUGAGUGUGAGAGAGGUAUGUGGAACUCCGAGUGUAGAGGUGAAAUUCGUAGAUAUUCGGAAGAACACCAGUGGCGAAGGCGACAUACUGGCUCAUUACUGACGCUGAGGCUCGAAAGCGUGGGGAGCAAACAGGAUUAGAUACCCUGGUAGUCG
rnacentral:rRNA from 1 species